GUUCCGGUGACAAGCAUCACCUGGUACGUCCAUCCUUAUCUUACGUUCCCGCUGUUCGAAACCGAUGAACGAAACCCAAGCUAUCUGUGUUCGAAUAUGAUCUGAUCUAUUCGUGUAAAACGUCGACGGCUUGCACUGCGCGCCGCGCGAGCCAGCAGCCGCUGCUCCACCGAGGCGGCCGCGCCGCUUUGUUAGCGCUUAUGCCCCAAUCGAGGCGUUAACCGACCGCUUAGCGCAUAUUGCCACUUUUUUGGAACCCUAGCUAAUUUUACUAGAUUUCUUUGUUACAGCAAGAUGUUCGAAUACCAAAACUUUGUUAGGUGUAGACUGAAGCUGAAGAGUAAAGUGCUGGACGUGAAGGAUGGUAGAGCGAAGAAAAAGAAGAUGAAGUACCAGCGUCAGGAGUCGUCUCAGAUUGGGCACGAUGAGCUCCACAAAAGUUUUUCUCGUUAUUACACUGGCCAAUCUU
rnacentral:lncRNA from 1 species